CACUAUUUAAAACUUUCAGGAGAUACAUAACAGAUUUAGAAAUACUUCUAAUUUCUUAAUUCACAUUUAUUCUUUUCACAACUCAAAAGCUGAAAAUCUGUCAUUUUAAAUAACAUUGCAAAAGUGAGGCCAAAAAUAAGAAUGAUAUUGUACACGGAAAGACAAACAUUCAAACCAAAAUUAUCAUCGAUUUGUCUGAGGACUGGCCAAUAUUUUCCUUUUUAUUUUUCAUAAUAAUUUUCAUAGUUAUUUUUCAAAAUUCCUAAAACAAUAUUGUGGUUACUUCUUACUAAGUGUUCAUUAUUGUAGGGAGCGGUUAUAGGGUUAAGCCUCAGACUGACCUGUGGCAGGGCCACAAACAAGUCCCAGCUUGGAGGGCAGAGCCUUCCGAGCAUAAUUAAGCUUGACCUUAUAGCCCUCCCUAGUUCCUUCCUAGGUAGCUAAUGGGCUGUGGGAGGUGCAGCAAGUGCUGCCAAAAUAAGGUGAAACUCGCAAGAACGUUGUAAACAUGUUGACCACUUCCCUUGUUUUGCUUUGUGUGCUCUGACUAUAAAAUAGAGCUUCGGCUUGCAGGCUGUGUCUCUCUGUGUCCUCAUCCAGGCACAAGAGAUCCAUAUAGCCCCAGCUGUAUUCUCUUGUCUGUCUUCUUUAAUCCUUCACCGCUGGCCAUGCUGGACGCAGUUCAUGUGGCGCCCACCAGGGGCCCUGAGGCCUGGGUACGGGAAACUACAAUUGCAAGGUGAAAGGACGCUCCAGUAAAGCGCGCACACAAAGCAAAAAGUAAGGUGUUUGUGGACCCCUCACGGAUGUCUCGGCCUCCUAAAGACAAGUGUGUUUUACAAACCCCUAUCAGCCCUCACAGAACUGACUUGGGCCGCGUAGAGAUGGGGAGAAAGAUGGAUCCUGAUUGUGAGCUUUCAGUAUGUGCUUUACACAUUGGGAGUGUGCCUGGCUGGCAGAUGAACUGAUACGGCUUCCUUUUAUUAAGGAAAUUACUGUUUCCAUACAUGGAAAUAUUAGUCACUCUGCACUUAUUCUUUGAAGGGGAUAAGGAUCUUUUACCGGGUCCCCUUGGAAAUUAAAGCCAUCUAGAAUAAUAAAAGCGGGGGGAGGGAGGCACCUAAGGUGUAUUUCUUUAUAAGAACCUCUAUCCUGAAUUUAGCUUAUCAUACCAGCACCACCAUGCCAGCCUGGCCCCAUCAGACAUGUCCUUAUUAACACUAAGGGGAAAUUUGGGGGUGCCAAACAAAUUGCAUGCUAAGGCACUUCAUGACUAUGUAAUCUUUAUUCCUAAACUCCUAAAUAGAUAGCUAAAAACCUGAGUGUGUGCAUAAAGACAAGGAAGUUAUCUUAAUGCGGAUAAUAACUCAGAGAUAAAAUUAGGUUGAGAAGUCAAAGCACUUUAAGGAUAAAUUUAGAGAAGAUACAUUUUUGUUGCUAGAAAAGGAAAAGCAUGAAGCAUCCCAGUGAAGAUAUUCCAGAGGCAGCUCACAGUUAUCAGAUGAAUUUGAUUGACAUUUAUAAGAAGACUUGAGGUAUAAGAGCUCAAUUAUAAUGCAACUCUCUUUGAAGUUUCUACUUUCUCUCCCUUCCCCUCCCCUCCCUCCCUCCUAAAAGCCCUCAUUAGUCAUUCCUCUGCUCUCUAAGACUGAUGGGCACAAUUACUGACUCAGGCAGCUUCUGCAGAGUGCCGAGAAACAAGUUAAAUUAAUGAAAAUAAAAUAAAAUAAAAAACAAGUUUUAUGAAGGGGAGAAAAUCAAUAUUGUUAUCUAAAAUGGAUAGUGAACUGUAUAGCCCAACUUCUCCUUGGAAAUAAAGCAAGAAAGGAGGACUGAGCUAAAAAUACACUGCCUGAAAGUGACAGUGUUCCUUUGUACCUCCUCCCCUAACUCAGUACAGCUAUCCCCCGAUCAAUCCCGCUCCGAGCUCAGCUCCAUUGCAGGUGGUAUCUGCUAUUUUGCUGUCAUCGCCCAGCAUGUUUAAUUCAGAUGUUAGCCUGGAAAUUCACUGUGACCAGUCAAAUGGAACUUCGGCUGCUGAGCACUGACCCAUAUGCUCGUCUUCUAGUUCUUACUGUUUCCUGAUGAGGCCACGCAGAGCUCGGGUGGCUCCAAGUACAAGGAAACUGAGGGCCGUGCCUCCUAUCCUCGUGUUCUUCUUAGAAUAAACUCGAGAUGAGGAGUAACUCAGAGGUACUACUUACCUUUCCCUCACACCUGCAUCUUUCUUCUCUGAAACCCUUACUGUCUCAGAUGAACUCCUUUGGAGGAGAAAAGGGGGUGGGGGAAGUUGCUGGCUAAGAGAAGCCUGAUAUAAAGGGGGGUGGGGAGGGGUGAGAGUGAGAGGGAUUAAUUUCAAGUCUACUAAAAAAUGACUCCUCCCUGCAUUUACAGCCAGUACAAGCAUGCUGGUUAAAAUCCAAUUUAAUUCAUUCAUCACCUAAAUGUCCAUUGAAAUCAAAGAGUAAGAAUUACAGGGGCCUAAGAAAGAUUUGAGUCUGGCCCAAACUCCUCUUUUGGAGUUGAGGAAGAUAAACCCCAAGAGGGGACACUGACCAGCCCAGGAAUUUAGGGUCCGGGACCUCUCAGGGGGCCUAGCAGGAACGUACACUCCGGAGGACACGUCUCUGUGUGCGUUUUGCGGUAGAAGUAACACUACUCUAUGGUGGGCUUUCUAAAAUAAGAAUGCGGAGUGUGUUCCUACCUCCUUCGUGGAUGGUGUCAACCCCUCAAGGGGAAACUGCCGCCACAGGAGAUGUCCAGCUUUAAGGGAAUCUGCAUUGUUCUUAACCUAACAAGCAUGUCCUUCCACACCAUUCCGCACCGAAAUAAACUCACACACAAGUCAGGGACGAACUCUCCUAUAACUUGAACCACUGCGCACGGGCCACCCGAGAGGGCGUCCACGCGACACCACCAGAGCUUCAAUUCCGCCGGCGAAGAGAACAGAACACGCUGCCUCCUUUUAUGAUUUGCUGCAGUUGCUUUUUUUUUCCUUUCUGUAUUUUAUCAUUUAAGAAAAAACACAGCAGCAAGUUCUGUGUUGACUUCAGA